CCCUGGCUCAGAACGAACGCUGGCGGCAGGCUUAACACAUGCAAGUCGAGCGCCCCUCCUUCAAGCAAGCUUGAAGGAUUUUUAUCCUUGAAAAGGAAGAUCAAGAACGCUUCUAAGAAGCUUUCUUGAUGGAGGGGAGCGGCAGACGGGUGAGUAACGCGUGGGAAUCUACCCAUCUCUACGGAAUAACUCAGGGAAACUUGUGCUAAUACCGUAUACGCCCUUCGGGGGAAAGAUUUAUCGGAGAUGGAUGAGCCCGCGUUGGAUUAGCUAGUUGGUGGGGUAAAGGCCUACCAAGGCGACGAUCCAUAGCUGGUCUGAGAGGAUGAUCAGCCACAUUGGGACUGAGACACGGCCCAAACUCCUACGGGAGGCAGCAGUGGGGAAUAUUGGACAAUGGGCGCAAGCCUGAUCCAGCCAUGCCGCGUGAGUGAUGAAGGCCUUAGGGUUGUAAAGCUCUUUCACCGGAGAAGAUAAUGACGGUAUCCGGAGAAGAAGCCCCGGCUAACU
rnacentral:rRNA from 1 species